rnacentral:rRNA from 1 species
UACGGAGGGUGCAAGCGUUGUUCGGAAUCAUUGGGCGUAAAGAGCGCGUAGGCGGCCCGGCAAGUCAGAUGUGAAAGCCUCGGGCUUAACCCGAGAAGUGCAUUUGAAACUGCCGAGCUUGAGUACGGGAGAGGGAGGUGGAAUUCCCAGUGUAGAGGUGAAAUUCGUUGAUAUUGGGAGGAACACCGGUGGCGAAAGCGGCCUCCUGGACCGAUACUGACGCUGAGGCGCGAAAGCGUGGGGAG